CCGGGAGGAGACGCGGCGCGCGGCCCGGCUCUCGGAAGCCUCCAGAAGCGGCCCUCCGCUCCGUUUGCUCUUCGUCUGUUGCCGCUGCGCAGCAUCUGGCUCCUGUGGCCGGGCUCCAGCUGUGCCCAUCGCCACCACCGCAGCCGGGAGACCCUGCCCGCCGCCCCCGACGCCCGAGCUGCUCCCAGCCGCCUCACGGCCCCACGAGGAUCAGGACCGGACCAGACAGCAGCUGGACGUCCGCGCGGGAGAAACGCCAGCUGUGAUCCAGCCGUUGACGAAGUCGGGCCAGGCGGGGCUGGGGUGCGUGGCCGGCUGCCCUGCCCCUGAGCCCUCGGUCCCCACAGCGCUGUGUCGAGCACCCUGCUUCUUUUGCGGCUGUCUGUUCCUGC
ensembl:lncRNA